rnacentral:tRNA from 1 species
GCCCUUGUGGCUAAGUGGUUAAGCACUUGACUGCUAACUGAAAGGUCAGUGGUUCGAAACCACCAACAGCU